UACGUAGGGUGCGAGCGUUGUCCGGAAUUAUUGGGCGUAAAGAGCUUGUAGGCGGUCUGUCGCGUCUGCUGUGAAAAUCCGGGGCUCAACCCCGGACUUGCAGUGGGUACGGGCAGACUAGAGUGCAGUAGGGGAGAUUGGAACUCCUGGUGUAGCGGUGGAAUGCGCAGAUAUCAGGAGGAACACCAAUGGCGAAGGCAGAUCUCUGGGCCGUAACUGACGCUGAGGAGCGAAAGCAUGGGGAGCGAACAGG
rnacentral:rRNA from 1 species